UUAUGGCUCAGUUGGCAGAGCAUGAGGCUCGUAAUCUCAGGGUUGUGGUUCAAGCCCCACAUUGGCUGAA